rnacentral:tRNA from 1 species
GCGGAUUUAGCUCAUCUGGUAGAGCGCGACCUUGCCAAGGUCGAGGUAGCGGGUUCGAGCCCCGUAAUCCGCUCCA